UGCAGUCGUGGCCGAGUGGUUAAGGCGAUAGACUUGAAAUCUAUUGGUGUUGUACGCCGCGCAGGUUCGAAUCUUGCCGGCGCAU
rnacentral:tRNA from 1 species